rnacentral:miRNA from 1 species
CCCCCAGCGCUCCCCCCCCUCC